rfam:Oryza sativa (indica cultivar-group) chromosome 1, whole genome shotgun sequence.
AAAAAGACAAACCUUGGAUUUCCGUGUCCAACGUUUAAUUAUUCAUCUUAUAUGAAAUUUUUUUAUAAUUAGUAUUUUCAUUGUUGUUAGAUGAUAAAACAUGAUUAAUACUUUAUGCGUGACUUGUCUUUUUAUUUUUUUUUAUUUUUUUUUAAAUAAGACAAACGGUCAAAUGUUGAACAUAGAAAUCCAUGGUUUGUCUUUUU